rnacentral:tRNA from 1 species
UGGUUAGUAGCUCAGCGGUAGAGCAACGCACUGUUAAUGCGUAGCGCAUAGGUUCGAAUCCUAUCUAGCCAG